rnacentral:rRNA from 1 species
UACGUAGGGUGCAAGCGUUGUCCGGAAUUAUUGGGCGUAAAGAGCUCGUAGGCGGUUCGUCGCGUCGGCUGUGAAAUCCCGAGGCUCAACCUCGGGUCUGCAGUCGAUACGGGCGGACUGGAGUACUGCAGGGGAGACUGGAAUUCCUGGUGUAGCGGUGAAAUGCGCAGAUAUCAGGAGGAACACCGGUGGCGAAGGCGGGUCU